rnacentral:rRNA from 1 species
CUUUACUGCAUUUUUACAUUGUUACUAAAAUUAAAUUGUGUAGCAUAAGUGGGAGUUUUAUGCAAAUAAAACAUCAAUGAAAUACCACUCUUUUUAAUUUUAGAACUAAAUUUCAAAUUAAAAUAAAUUUUGAAAGACCGUGUAUGAUUGGUAGCUUAACUGGGGCGGUUUCCUCCUAAAGAGUAACGGAGGAGUGCAAAGGUAAGCUCAAACUGGAAUUACAUCAGUUGUGGAGUGCAAUGAUAAAAGCUUGCUUGACUAUAAGACAGACAUGUCAAAUAGAAACGAAAGUUUGCCAUAGUGACCCGGUAAUUUUUUGUGGAAAAGUUAUCGCUCAACGGAUAAAAGGUA